rnacentral:rRNA from 1 species
CAGCCGUAAACUAUGCGCGUUAGGUGUACUGGUGACCACGAGUCACCGGGGUGCCGAAGGGAAACCGUGAAACGUGCCGCCUGGGAAGUACGGUCGCAAGGCUGAAACUUAAAGGAAUUGGCGGGGGGAGCACCACAACGGGUGGAGCCUGCGGUUUAAUUGGAUUCAACGCCGGACAUCUCACCGGAUAAGACAGCUGAAUGAUUGUCAAUCUGAAGGUUUUACAUGACUAGCUGAGAGGUGGUGCAUGGCGUCAGUGACU